rnacentral:rRNA from 1 species
CGGUAAUUCCAGCUCCAAUAGCGUAUACUAAAGUUGUUGCAGUUAAAAAGCUCGUAGUUGGGUUUCUGCGGGGACGGAGCGGCCGGACGCAACUUGCGUCUCGAGCUAGCGCUUUCCCCGCAUCCUGCCGCGAACCGUGCUACCAUUAGUUUGGUGGCGCUGGGGAUCGGCUCGAUUACUUUGAGAAAAAUAGAGUGUUCAAAGCAGGCCACACGCCUUGAAUAAGUUAGCAUGGAAUAAUGACUAAGGACUUUGGUUCUUUUCGUUGGUGUUCGGGACUGAAGUAAUGAUUGAUAGGGACAGUUGGGGCGGUCCGUAUUCCAAAGCGAGAGGUGAAAUUCUUAGACCUUCGGAAGACGAACAGCUGCGAAAGCGUUCCGCAAGGAUGUUCCCUUUGAUCAAGAACGAAAGUUGGGGGAUCGAAGACGAUCAGAUACCGUCGUAGUCUCAACUAUAAACUAUACCAGCUAGGGAUCGGCCAACGUUUAAUUAUUCGACUUGGUCGGCACCUUAUGAGAAAUCAAAGCAUCUGGGUUCCGGGGGGAGUAUGGUCGCAAGGCUGAAACUUAAAGGAAUUGACGGAAGGGCACCACCAGGCGUGGAGCCUGUGGCUUAAUUUGACUCAACACGGGAAAACUUACCAGGUCCAGACAUAGGAAGGAUUGACAGAUUGAUAGCUCUUUCUUGAUUCUGUGGGUGGUGGUGCAUGGCCGUUUUUAGUCGGUGAAGUGAUUUGUCUGCUUAAUUGCGUUAACGGACGAGACCCCAGCCUGCUAAAUAGCGCGGCCGAGCUUUGCUCGGUACGAGCUUCUUAGAGGGACCAUGAUGCGCGAUAGCACAAGGAAGUUUGGGGCAACAACAGGUCUGUGAUGCCCUUAGAUGUUCUGGGCCGCACACGGGCUACACUGGCGCCUGCAACGAGCAUGUCAGCUGGCCCGAGAGGGUCUUGGCUAAUCUUUGGAACCGGCGCCGUGCUUGGGAUUGACCAUUGCAAUUGUUGGUCAUGCAACGAGGAAUGCCUUGUAAACGCGAGUCAUCAGCUCGCAUUGAAUACGUCCCUGCCCUUUGUACACACCGCCCGUCGCUCCUACCGAUGAAUGUUCCGAUGAAAUUUUCGGAGAGCGCCGGAGAACGGGGCUCUGCCCUGCAGAACUGGAGGCUCAAAGUCACUUAAAUCUGAACAUUUCGAGGAAGGAGAAGUCGUAACAAGGUAACC